UACGUAGGGGGCAAGCGUUGUCCGGAUUUACUGGGCGUAAAGAGCGUGUAGGCGGCCACGCAGGUCCGUUGUGAAAACUCGAGGCUCAACCUCGAGACGUCGGUGGAAACCGUAUGGCUAGAGUCCGGAAGAGGAGAGUGGAAUUCCUGGUGUAGCGGUGAAAUGCGCAGAUAUCAGGAAGAACACCCGUGGCGAAGGCGGCUCUCUGGGACGGUACUGACGCUGAGGAGCGAAAGCGUGGGGAGCGAACAGG
rnacentral:rRNA from 1 species